UCGUCAGCGAUGCAUCGCCCACUCGGCAAUGCCUGCGUCUGCGCAGAUGGUUGUGCGAGCGAGAAAGCGGAAAUGAGGCAGUGCUCCUAGCUGUGUGAGGCCGCUACUGUGAGAGACUGACAGUUCUGGAGAAGCCAAACGGAGGUGUCAUUUCUGAUAGGGCUACGCUGGAAAAAUAAAACGCUUCUGCACUGAAGGUUGGACAUGAAUAUUCAUACCGGUAUUAAUAGUAAUGUGAUACCCUCUCAAUUCAUCUGAAUUGGUAAAAUAUUCUGUGAAGCUCAAUGGAAUUCUUCUCCUGUCCCGGUUUCAUGUACCCCAGCCUGACUUCACUCACUGUGUAGCUGUGGAUAACAGUGAACUCCUGCUGCCAACUCCCAAGUCACUGGGCGACAAGUGUGCGCCACCACACUCAGCUUCAUCUUUUUUAAAGUCAGGAGAGAAGGUUAAAGGAAAUCAGAGAAGUCUCAAAGAACUGAUUAUAAAAACUUUAUUUCUUGUAAAAUCACACAAAAAUUUCAGAAGUAGACAAAUUCCAGAGCUAUAAAGAGAAGUGAAAAGCAGUGAGACAGGAAGCAUACUUGUUCCCUGGGUGGACAUUAGCUUCUGUGAAGUGCUGGGGACGAGUGGCCCUUGACAACGCGGACAUGGGAGGUGUCCAUUGGCACUACAGAAACACCGAUGCCUGCCCUAUCCAUCAAGAAGAAAUAAGCAGUGCUCGCUUCAGCAGCACAUAUACUAAAACUGGAAGAAUACAGACAAGAUUAGCAUGGCCCCUGCUAUUCCAUACUUUUCCUGUCAUCAGGAGGUGGAUAAAGUGUCAACAGCAAGAAUCCACUGUCUUGACCAACUUGCCACUGUGGUAACAGUGACUGCUCCACUUCAGGACAUUUGUAGCUAAAGAUUCCAAAGCAGCAAAGGGAGCUGUGACCUUCUUUCCUCCAUGAGUCAGGAAUGAGUGUUACAUCUUCCUGCCUCCAUUUGAUUUUUACGCUAUAAAAGCGCAGACUUACUCAGUUACUAAGUUAUCUCAUUCUUGAAACAAAGUUUUAUUUUAGUAAAAAUAAAAUAAAAA